rnacentral:rRNA from 1 species
AUGGCCGUCGAUUCCGACAGAGGGGAGGGGGAUUUGGAGAUUGGGUUGGCGUCGCCGGGGUCGGAGGGAGGCGUUUCGCCCGUCGCCCCAGGCCGCCGGGCGCUCGAGUCCUGCCUCUCCGGGAAGCGCCUCGACCAGUCGCCGUCGCCGUCGCGGGCGGUCAGGCGCCCCGCGCUAGUCAUGUCCAGCUCCGGGAAGCGCCUCGACCAGUCGCCCUCGCCCUCGCGCCCGGUGCUGGCCAUGUCCCGCUCCAGCAACCGCCUGGACCAGCCGCCCGGCCGCCCGGUGCUGGCCAUGUCCCGCUCCAGCAACCGCCUCGACCACUCGCCGGCGUCGUCCUCGUCCCCGACGCCGGCCAAGGGGCCGGCGCUCGUCAUGUCCGGCUCCAGCAAGCGGCUGGAGCAGUCGCUCGCGUCCCCGUCGCCGUCGCCCAAGGCCGGCGCCGCGGCGCCGCCCGUGCUGGUGCUCUCCAACUCCGGCAAGCGGAUGGACCAGGCGGGGCGGAAGAAGUACGUUAAGCAGGUGACGGGCCGACACAACGACACGGAGCUCCACCUCGCCGCGCAGCGCGGGGACCUCGACGCCGUGCGCCAGAUCAUCGCCGAAAUCGACGCUCAGAUGACCGGCACCGGCGAGGAGUUCGACAGCGAGGUGGCGGAGAUUCGCGCCGCCGUGCUCAACGAGCCCAACGAGGUCGGGGAGACCGCGCUGCUCAUCGCCGCUGAGAAAGGGUUCAUCGACGUCGUCGUCGAGCUGCUCAAGCACUCUGACAAGGAGAGCCUUGCGAGGAAGAACAAAUCAGGAUUCGAUGCUCUGCACGUCGCUGCAAAGGAAGGCCACCGAGAUAUUGUGAAGGUACUCCUGGACCAUGAUCCAUCCCUUGGGAAGACGUUUGGCCAAUCAAAUGUGACUCCUCUGAUAACUGCGGCGAUUAGAGGCCACCUCGAGGUAGUGAACCUUCUGCUGGAGCGAGUUUCUGGGUUGGUUGAACUAUCAAAGGCGAACGGAAAGAAUGCAUUGCAUUUCGCUGCCCGUCAGGGGCAUGUUGAAAUAGUUAAGUCCUUGCUAGUCAGUGAAGCUCAGCUUGCUCGGAAGACUGAUAAGAAAGGACAGACCGCUUUGCACAUGGCGGUUAAAGGAACAAGCGCUGCGGUUGUUAGAGCACUCGUGAAUGCUGAUCCGGCCAUAGUUAUGCUACCUGACAAAAAUGGCAACUUAGCUUUGCAUGUUGCCACCAGGAAGAAAAGAUCAGAGAUUGUGAAUGAGCUUCUGCUUCUUCCGGACAUGAACGUGAAUGCGCUGACUAGGGAUCGCAAGACUGCAUUUGACAUAGCAGAGGGUCUUCCGCUAUCAGAAGAGUCUGCAGAUAUAAAGGAUUGUUUAUCCCGUGCUGGUGCAGUGAGAGCAAAUGAUCUGAAUCAGCCUCGGGAUGAGCUGAGAAAAACAGUGACUGAGAUCAAGAAGGACGUACACACUCAACUUGAGCAAGCCAGAAAAACCAACAAAAAUGUGCAUGGCAUAGCAAAGGAACUGAGGAAGCUCCACAGGGAAGGCAUCAACAAUGCAACAAACUCUGUCACAGUUGUGGCUGUGCUCUUCGCCACAGUUGCAUUUGCUGCGAUAUUCACGGUGCCAGGAGGCAACGACGACCAUGGUGUCGCAAUAGUUGUGCAUGCGGUGUCCUUCAAGGUCUUCUUCAUCUUCAACGCCAUCGCCUUGUUCACAUCAUUAGCAGUAGUGGUGGUGCAGAUAACACUUGUUAGGGGCGAGACGAAAGCAGAGAGGCGAGUUGUGGAGGUGAUCAACAAGUUGAUGUGGCUGGCUUCUGUAUGCACCACGGUGGCAUUCAUAUCCUCCUCUUACAUAGUGGUGGGUCGGCACUUCAAGUGGGCGGCGAUGCUGGUGACCCUCAUCGGCGGGGUGAUCAUGGCCAGUGUGCUCGGUACGAUGACAUACUAUGUGGUGAAGUCCAAGCGCACGCGAUCGAUUAGGAAGAAGGUGAAGUCAACAAGGCGGAGCGGCUCAAACUCAUGGAACCACAACUCGGAGUCAGAUUCCGAGAUAGACCGGAUAUACGCCAUAUGA